rnacentral:rRNA from 1 species
GCGGCUUAUUUGACUCAACACGGGGAAGCUUACCAGGGCAAGACAUGGCUAGGAACGACAGCUUAAGAGCGCUUUCGUGAUUCCAUGAGUGGUGGUGCAUGGUCCGUUGCAUGUUCGUGGAGCGAUUUGUCUGGUUAAUUCCGUUAACGAACGAGACUUUGGCCCUCAAAAUAGAGACGCCCACUUUGCUGCUGGGCGUGCUCCUCUUGAGGGGACUGAUCGCGGUAAGCGAUAGGAAGUGCAAAGCCAUAACAGGUCUGUGAUGCCCUUAGAUGUUCUGGGCUGCACGCGUGCUACAAUGGCGGAGACAGCAAGUUGGUGCGCCGAGAGGCGCGUCAAAGCGUGAAUCUCCGCCGUGCUUGGGAUAGGCCAUUGGAAUUUGGCCUUGAACGAGGAAUUUUUAGUAAGUGCGCUUCAUCACAGUGCGCUGGCUACGUCCCUUGUUUUUGUACACACCGCCCGUCGCUAUUUCCGAUUGGAUGGCUUAGUGAGGUGCUUGGAUGGCCUCUCUUGGGAGGAUAGAAAAGCAACAAACUUGGUCAUCUAGAGGAAAUAAAAGUCGUAACAAGGUACUCGUAUGUGAACCUGCGUGUGGAUCAUUAAUGGUGUUCUGGUGGUGCGGCCGCCGCAAGGCAGCAGCCCGCCGGGGUAUUUUGUGAAUUUUCUGGGUCUUGCGCUCUGUGUGUGUGUUGGCGACGCUGUGGACGUGCAUUGGCUGGUCUGUUUGCGUGUGUGUGUGGGUGUGUGUAGUCUCGGCUGGCCCGAUCUGUGGCAGAAGCGAUUUCGUGACAGAUCAGAUCGGCCGGACAGCAACCCCAUUCAUCAUGUAUGCAUGCCAGCCAGCAUCCCCAGAUACCCCAAUCCAUGCCCAUGCAAGUGGCAUGGCCCAGAACUAUAGAUGCUUUAAACAACUACAAACUGUACACAACUGGCGGCAAGGGAUCAUUUGGCUCUCGUAACUAUAAAGAACGCAGCGAGAUGCAAAACGUGGCGCGAUACGCAAAACCUGCGAGACGUCGAGUUUUUGAACGCAACAUGCCCCCGCAGAACAAUCCACAAGCAUGUCUGUCUGGGUGUUUGACCCNNNNNNNNNNNNNNNNNNNNNNNNNNNNNNNNNNNNNNNNNNNNNNNNNNNNNNNNNNNNNNNNNNNNNNNNNNNNNNNNNNNNNNNNNNNNNNNNNNNNAUCACUCUUCCGGGCAACUGGCCGUGUUCUGAUGGGCCGUUUGCGCAAGCGACGGCCUUGGGGCGCGCCGUGUCCGGACGUGUCUUGCCUGCUUGCAGGCGUGUGUGCGCUGCCUCGCCGCAGCGUCAAUCUCUGAGUGUCUGCUGUGAAUGAAGAUGUGAUCGAACUGUGCGGCUGGGCGUUUGCGUCUGGCCGCCUGUUCGUCUCCAACUACUCUACUCUACAUGCAAGCCGCUUUGCAAGCGUCCAUGGAUGCGCGCACAUUUGCAGACUAGGGGGCCGUUUGGCUCAACUGUCCGUCCCUUUCAUGACCUGUCAUGACUGCGCGCGGGCGGCCGGGCCAGACAGACGACCUUGCUUGGUCUGCACUCAAACGACAAACCUCAGAUCAGACAAGACUACCCGCUGAACUUAAGCAUAUCAGUAAGCGGAGGAGAAGAAACUAACAAGGAUUCCCCCAGUAACUGCGAGUGAAGCGGGAAGAGCCCAAACUUGUAAUCUGUGCCCACCGGGCACCGAGUUGUAGUUUGGAGCCUGGUUGUGCACGCAAGCCGCCUGUCCUAACUACCGUGGAAACGGAGGCCAAGGAGGGUGACAGCCCCGUGUGGGCAGGCGGCAACACGUCCACGCCGGGCCAAGAGUCGGGCUGUUUGGGAUUGCAGUCCAAAGCGGGUGGUAAACUCCAUCUAAGGCUAAAUACCGACGAGAGACCGAUAGCGAACAAGUACCGUGAGGGAAAGAUGAAAAGAACUUUGAAAAAAGAGUCAAAAGUACGUGAAAUUGCCGGCAGGGAAGCGAUUGGGACGGCAGAGCCGAGCGUGCAUUCGGCAACGUGGCGGGCCAACUAGUUGGCCUUCAGGUUGCGGGGUUUUGCGCUCGGACAGUUGCAGCGCUUUGGCGCGUCGCCAUCUUUUGGCCGGCUUCGGCGGAGCGCCC